rnacentral:rRNA from 1 species
ACCCAGGCUAAUACCGCAUACGUCCUACGGGAGAAAGCAGGGGCUCUUCGGACCUUGCGCUAUCGGAUGAGUCUAUGUCGGAUUAGCUGGUUGGUGAGGUAAUGGCUCACCAAGGCGACGAUCCGUAGCUGGUCUGAGAGGAUGAUCAGCCACAUCGGGACUGAGACACGGCCCGAACUCCUACGGGAGGCAGCAGUGGGGAAUAUUGGACAAUGGGCGCAAGCCUGAUCCAGCCAUGCCGCGUGUGUGAAGAAGGCCUUCGGGUUGUAAAGCACUUUCAGUGGGGAAGAAAGCCUUGGGGCUAAUACCCUCGAGGAAGGACAUCACCCACAGAAGAAGCACCGGCUAACUCCGUGCCAGCAGCCGCGGUAAUACGGAGGGUGCGAGCGUUAAUCGGAAUUACUGGGCGUAAAGCGCGCGUAGGCGGUCUGAUAAGCCGGUUGUGAAAGCCCCGGGCUCAACCUGGGAACGGCAUCCGGAACUGUCAGGCUAGAGUGCAGGAGAGGAAGGUAGAAUUCCCGGUGUAGCGGUGAAAUGCGUAGAGAUCGGGAGGAAUACCAGUGGCGAAGGCGGCCUUCUGGACUGACACUGACGCUGAGGUGCGAAAGCGUGGGUAGCAAACAGGAUUAGAUACCCUGGUAGUCCACGCCGUAAACGAUGUCGACUAGCCGUUGGGGUCCUUGAGACCUUUGUGGCGCAGUUAACGCGAUAAGUCGACCGCCUGGGGAGUACGGCCGCAAGGUUAAAACUCAAAUGAAUUGACGGGGGCCCGCACAAGCGGUGGAGCAUGUGGUUUAAUUCGAUGCAACGCGAAGAACCUUACCUACCCUUGACAUCGUGCGAACUUGGUAGAGAUACCUUGGUGCCUUCGGGAACGCACAGACAGGUGCUGCAUGGCUGUCGUCAGCUCGUGUUGUGAAAUGUUUGGGUUAAGUC